rnacentral:rRNA from 1 species
UACGGAGGGGUGCAGCGUUAUCCGGAUUUACUGGGUUUAAAGGGUGUGUAGGCGGACUAUUAAGUCAGUGGUGAAAUCCCGAGGCUCAACCUCGGAACUGCCUUUGAUACUAUUAGUCUUGAAUGUUGUUGAGGUGGGCGGAACGGGUCAUGUAGCGGUGAAAUGCAUAGAUAUGACCCGGAACACCUAUUGCGAAGGCAGCAGGCUAAACAAUAUUGACGCUGAGGCUCGAAAGCGUGGGGAAUCAAACAGGAGUUAGAAUG